UACAGAGGGGGCAAGCGUUAUUCGGAAUUAUUGGGCGUAAAGGGCUCGUAGGCGGCCAACUAAGUCAGACGUGAAAUCCCUCAGCUUAACUGGGGAACUGCGUCUGAUACUGGAUGGCUUGGAUUCGGGAGAGGAAUGCGGAAUUCCAGGUGUAGCGGUGAAAUGCGUAGAUAUCUGGAGGAACACCGGUGGCGAAGGCGGCAUUCUGGACCGAUAUUGACGCUGAGGAGCGAAAGCCAGGGGAGCAAACGGG
rnacentral:rRNA from 1 species